rnacentral:rRNA from 1 species
UGGGGAAUUUUGGACAAUGGGGGGAACCCUGAUCCAGCAAUGCCGCGUGAGUGAAGAAGGCUUCGGGUUGUAAAACUCUUUUACCGAUGAAGAUGAUGACGGUAAU